AAGUCGUAACAAGGUUUCCGCAGGUGAACCUGCGGAAGGAUCAUUAUUAGUUCAAACUUAUUAGUUUUUAAACAUAUUUAUAAGUAUACAUGAUAUAUGGUAUACAAUGAUAAACAACACGUUUAUGGGUGCCUAUUUAACCAGUACAUUUACUGACUACUAUUAAGGUCAGUAUAUAGUGUGCAAGGUUUAAAGAAUCAAUUAUAAAGGUUUGAUCGCCCUUAGACAAAAACGUAUUCAAUAUUAUUAUUUCAUCUAUUAUUAUCAUUAUCAUAAUAAUAUGAUCCCUUUUCGUGAUAAACAAUUAGGUAGAUCAAACUUAAAAUACGGAUCGCUGUAUUACAUUCUGUGCAUUACAUAAGCAUCUGUAUAUUACAUAUAACUUUGAGCGAUGGAUCACUCGGCUCACA
rnacentral:misc_RNA from 1 species